GCAGCGAAUGCCACAGGUACUACAAGGUGUCGCGGGUUCGAGUCCCGCCAGCCGCAAGGCUGUAGCUCAGUCGGUAGAGCAAAUGUGCCUGUUUUCUUGUCGUUGCCCG
rnacentral:Y_RNA from 1 species